CCCAGACUGGUGUAAUGGCAACACAUGCGUGUGGCAGCUACUGAAUCUUAAAUGAGAAAGUAGUCCCUUCGGGGGGUCGCAUAUCCUGGUUCGAUUCCGGGGUCUGGUU